UACAGAGGGGGCAAGCGUUGUUCGGAAUUACUGGGCGUAAAGGGCGCGUAGGCGGCCUGUUAAGUCGAACGUGAAAUCCCCCGGGCUCAACCCGGGAACUGCGUCCGAUACUGGCAGGCUUGAAUCCGGGAGAGGGAUGUGGAAUUCCAGGUGUAGCGGUGAAAUGCGUAGAUAUCUGGAGGAACACCGGUGGCGAAGGCGACAUCCUGGACCGGUAUUGACGCUGAGGCGCGAAAGCCAGGGGGGGCAAACGGG
rnacentral:rRNA from 1 species